GUCAAUGUCAAUAUUUAAGAUUGUAACAAAGUGUUAAAAUGCGCAUGCAUGAAUACACUCCAGAUGAUUUACAAAAUAUCAUCAAUAAAUAUUCAACCUAUAUAACAAUCACUGAUCUAAUAGCAGUAGCUUGAAUUAAAGUGUUAUUAAAUCGCACAAUCGCACAAUCGACAUCAACAAAGCUACAACGUCUGUAGUAAAACAGACCUACACAACACUAUUAAAACCGGAACCAGCGUUCCUACCUGAGACGAUCUCCUCUCCCUCAUUUUGGCCACUAGAUGGCCUUCAUUAGCCCUUGUCGGCUGUCAAGGCCCCUCUCCCCAUCAAUGGAUUUUUAGCCUGACAUUGUUUUUCUUCAAUAUAAUAUACCAUUUACAACCUCAUGCAAGCGGACAUUUUUCUCAACUUCACCAGGUUAUCUCCACAUAGCUAUUUACGUUCUCCUGCAAGUGAACAUUUAUUUUCGACUUCACCAGGCUCAUAUAAUUGUUGCGUUCUCUUAUUGUUAUUGACCUUUGACCUUAAUUUCUAAAAUUUCAUUUUUCUUACAGAAUAUGUUUUAUUUAUCAAUAUUAAAGUGAGCAGGCGACGAAAACACUGCCAAAGGUUAUUGCCAGUCGCCGCGAAAAAAAGGGAAGGGAGACAAUUGUAAUGUGAUCGUUGCACCAAUGGAAACAAGAUACCCACAUAAAUGAACCUAGAACCGGGAAUGCCAAAAUAAUCAGUCGCGCAGCAGGUAUGUGAGGUAUUAAAUCGCUUGAAUCUACCUUACCCUACCUAAAGAGCUCUCUAGGGGCGGUAAGGGGCGAUAGAAAGGGUAUUUGAAGGUAUGUGUUGUUCGUGCAAAUGCAAAAUUUUAAACUUUUAUAUUUACUAGGUGCAAGAACAUUUGGGUCGGUCACUCGCUGUUCGCCCUUUAGAAAGUUUUCUUGAGUGAAACUAGGCGUAAGUACACAUAUAUAUUUAUCCAAAAGAACUAAA